CAUACCGAACCGUUCACAAUGAACGUUACGAACAAUGGAACGUCGGUAGCAGACAUCGGUUGCUGAUCUGCAUUUUGUAACGUUGUGUGGCCCACACUAGUGUGAAAUUUCUGAGGUUUCUGAGUGUGCGUGUUUUGAGUUUGAUUUUGUGAUAAAAGCGAUUAAAGUUGUUUGGUAUGUGGUAGUCAGUUUACUGUAGAUCAUGUUUUUUCUGAGGCGAUACUACACUUAAAGGAGCAGAGGUAUCAAUAAUGCCAACAUUUCGUAAAACUGAAGGGACUUUGUUGAAUAGGACCCUAACUUAAAAAUGACAGAAUUAGCACAGUCACUCAGAAAUAGAGUUUACUAUGCUGCGAGAGAUGGAAUGGCUAUUACUUUAUAUGCUCUACUGGCCGAAAAGAGGGAUGAAGAAGUACAUGAACUGCUUAAUCAGCAGGUGAUAGAGGAGGAUGGGCAGAAGUGUUCUCCUCUCAUUGUGGCAGCAAGACAUGGUCAUGAUAAAGUUGUGAAGAUGCUUCUCUCCAAGUUCAAACCAGACAUGGAGCAAGAGGGAACAAUAAAGUUGAAUGGCUAUGUUAUAGAGGGAGCAAGUGCAUUAUGGUGUGCUGCAGGUACAGGCCACCUAAAUGUUGUCAAAACUUUGGUGAAAACUGGUGCAAAUGUGAACCAUCCAACAAAAACAAAUUCCACUCCUUUACGUGCUGCGUGUUUUGAUGGUCGUUUGGACAUUGUCAAAUAUUUAACAGAUCAUCUUGCUGACAUUCACAUUGCAAAUAAAUACAAUAAUACGUGCUUAAUGAUAGCUGCAUACAAAGGCCAUUUCGAUAUAGUCAGUUUUCUUUUGGAGAAAGGAGCCAAUCCUGAUGAGAAAGCACACUGUGGUGCAACUGCACUUCAUUUUGCAGCAGAGUGUGGUCAUGUGGCAAUUGUUAAGGAGCUGUUGAAGUAUGGGGCACAUAUAACCAAGAAUGAAAAUGGCAUGAGUCCUCUGAUAGCAGCAGCUGAGCGGACUAGAGCUGAAGUAGUAGAAUACUUGGUAACACGGUCAGAGGUCUCAAAUAUGGAACGAAUAGAGGCCCUAGAAUUGCUUGGGGCUUCUUAUGCAAAUGAUAAAGACAAUUAUUGUCUCGAGUUAGCAUAUCAAUAUUUACAUCGGACAAUGGAAAUGAGGUAUAGUGACCCACAUAAUAUCAUAUUGAAGACAUUAGUAAAACCAGUUCCAGCAUAUGAAAAUUGGGUUGAAUGUCAAACAGUUGAAGAGCUAGAAGCCAUUCAACUCAAUCAGAAUGCUCUGCACAUGGAAUCAUUGUCAAUCCGUGAGCGGAUCUUGGGCACUCAUAAUCCAGAGGUGCCCCAUCCAGUUAUUUUCCGAGGUGCUGUAUUUGCUGACAAUGCACGGUUUGAUCGUUGUAUUGAAUUGUGGCUGCAUGCUUUACAUCUUCGACAACUCAACAAAGUAUCAGUUGUCAAGGAUCUCCUUCGAUUUGCACAGGUAUUCUCUCAGAUGAUCCAUGUUGGGGUAGAUUUAACAUUUUCUCAAGUUGAGGAUGUUUUAGCAGCAUCUGUUCUGGAACUAGAAAGGAACAAAGAGAAGAUUGCAAACCCUGGUCCUAAAGAUGAUGUAGAGCAAGUAAUGGAGGAAUUGGAGAGUAAUGUAACAACAGUCCUAUACAUUUUAGUUAUAAUUACGAAACUCAUGAAGUUCUGUACGAAAAAAGAAGAAUUUCAUGUUAACCGUCUAGUCUUCCGUUUGAAUCAGUUGGAAGUUGCUAUGAGAGAUGGUCAGACGCUACUGCAUUUGUGUGUUAAUGCUGACACACCUGUUGAUGAUUUUCACACCAAUGAUGUAUGCAAGUUUCCAUGUUCAUCAACAGCCAAGUUACUAAUUCAGUGUGGAGCCAAUGUAAAUGCAAUGGAUCAGAACAGAAACACGCCUUUGCACAUAAUUGUGAGUUACCAGAAACCCAUAAGUGACUUCUUAACUUUGCAUUCCAUUAUAAUGGAACUGACUGAAGCGGGAGCACAUAUGGACACGGUCAAUGUGCACGGUGAAACUCCUUUUGAAGCUGCAACAACUGGUGUAGCAGAAAUCAUCCUUCGAACACAAACGAAACUGAGCUUGAAGUGCAUGGCUGCUAAAGCUGUCAAAACUUAUAAUCUUACAUACCAAGGGCAAGUGCCACAGUCUCUUGAGAGCUUCAUUGAACUCCACGGCCCAGAGUCAAAGAGUAAGCCAAGCAAGGUACCAGCAUGAACCAGGAAGCAAGCAGGCAAAGUCUAAGGCACAUGAUGACUUAUGGUCAGUCAGCCAUCCUCUCCUUGUAGUUAAGCAACUGAUCUAGACCAGUGUCCCUACACUGAAUGAUGUUUGCAAGCAUCUCGUUUGAUCGUGAGCUAUCCUUUGGAGGCAGUAGCAGGUUUUAACAAGCCACCAUUAACGCGGGUCUGCCAGAAGAACAUUUUAUACGUCUUACAUUUGAAUUUGUUUUUGUGUGAAUUGAAUUGUGCAGUAUAGACACCAGCAUUAUUAUUUGACAGUCACAGUGGAAACCACAUGAGAAUGCUUUGCCUUGUUGCUUAACUCCAAACUGAAAUUCAUCAUUUUUCCCCCCAGACUUCAGUUUAUUCCUGUCCUCCCAGCUUCUUGCUCUUCCAGUGUUCCAACCAGAAAUCUUAAGGUAUUUCAUGUUUUCCCCAUCAUCUUUGCACAUAAGGCUUAAUUUAAAAUGUGUAACUGGUUAAUUUAUAAUUAAGUGUAUUCUUUCCUGUAUUUUUUCCUGUCAUAUGUGAUUGGUUCACCUUGUGGUUUCUUAAACUGUUUGUGCUACAAAAUCUCAAAACCUGCUUUUUUUUGACACAUUGUGCAUUAGCUUCCAUGUUGUAAAUGACAUGGAAGGAACAUUUUUAAAAUGUUGGUAUUUAUUCUUAAUGAAAUUUGUGUAUGGAUUGAAGUAUUGAGUUAUGUGAACUACACUUAACAACUUUAUUGAUGCAAUGGCUGACUUACAUUCAGUGGAGGCUCAGUUCAAGUCACGAUUGAUGUGUUUCCUGGAUUUUGUUAUUUUCCCUGGGCAAAUGUUUGGACAAUAUAUGAAAACAGACCAUGACAGCUCCUUCUUAAUUCAUUGUAAUAAAACAUGUUUUACAUUAGUAGUUGAUACAGCUUUUUACCAGCUGACUUCAACUUUACAUGCACUUGAGAAAUGCCUUGAAAAUGUAGUGAAUAAAUGAAAUAAUUUUCCAGUAAACUGUUCUUUUAUCAGCAUGCAUUUGUGAGGUAAUGGUCAUGAAAUCCAAACCAAAUUUAACUGCAGGAAUAUAUGUACCAUUAUGCUCAGAAUUACUGGGUUUUUGGACCCUUUAGAAUUAAUAUGUACCGUUGUGUUUCAGCCUUGUAUUUAACUACAUUGUUGCAUUGUAAUGAGCACAUAUUUGUACAGAAGUAUGGUUUCUAAGAAGAAAUUAUGAAUUGGAGAAUAAGCAAAAAAGUUAAGGAAUAUUAAUCACAGGAAACAAGUCCCCAGGUCUUUAUUUUAAUUUUAAAAUAUUUGUAAUAUGUCAGUUUAAAUGAUUUUAUGGUUGUGAUUUUGUAAUUGACGUAUCAGAGGAUGAUAUUCUGUUCUUUACUUCACUUCUGGGAUGGUUUCCAUUCAUUAGCUUUGUUCAUGAAAUAAUCUGACCCCUUUUUAUAUAAGCAGACCUCUUAAUAUGAAAGUGAAUCUCGUGAAGGUCAUUACAUGAAACAUGAAGAAGGAGGAGGAGCUCAGUCUAGUUAGGUACUGUUAUUUUGCACAGUGUUGGUACAACAUGGCUGCAAGUAUAAGAACUCAAGUUGUUCAAAAGACAAUUCAGAAUACUAUCAAGGACACAGCAUGAGAGUUACACAUAUAUUUAUAGGAUUAAUAUCAGCUAAUGUCUAAUUUUACAGGGAACAAAGUCAUUUUACUACUACUACUACUGCUGCUGCUGCUGCUGCUGCUAUUACUUAUA